AUAAAAUGUGUGUGUCUAUAAAUACUAACUUUUAGACAGAGGCGUGGGUUUCAUCGAUGUGUCGCAUUGUGGAUUUCAAAGAGGUUUAGAUUAUGAAUACUAAGAUAUGGAAAAAUAUGGUGUGUCGGUUCCCCCUCAAUAUUGGUUUGCUUGGUACUAUCAAGAGGAUGGUUGGGUGGCACUUAAUGCAGAUGAUUAAUCCAAAUCUCAAAUGGAAUGACAACUUGUAGAGUAGUGUUUCGUGAUCACACUAGUACUUUAAUAUUUGGAUACUCUUAUGCAUUAGAAGUGUGUGCGAUCUUGAUGACAAAACUUUGAUCUAUAUAUAACAAUUUAGAGUUGACUCUGUCUAGAGGGCUCAAAAAGAUUGAUAUCAGAUCAGAUUCUCAAGUAGCGGUGUCCUUAAUCCUAAAGAUUUUCUCGAAUAAACAUCUACGUUAUGAGUUUGUCACUCAUACAAAUGAGGUGUUUGAAAAGUUGAAUCACUUUAAAAUAUCUCAAAUCUAGCGUGAAAUCAAUCAUGUAGUAGAUACUUUUGCUAAAUUUGAUAUUUCUUGUCUUCAUAUCGACAAUAUUUUGUAUAUUUGUUGAUAAGAGUUUAAUAACCUUUUUCAUAAA